CAACUGGUGAACCCACUACAACCAUCAUUGAUGCAUCAAAAACAACUGGUGAACCCACAACAACAGUCACUGAGUCAACAAAAACAACUGGUGAACUCAAAACAACAGUCACUGGUGUGUCGACAACAACGGUUACAGCUGCACCCACUACAACUGUCACUGUAGAAUCAACAUCAACUGUUGGUCUUACUUCAUCCAUCAUUGGUGUGUCAACAACAAGUGAUGCAUCAACAACUACUGUUACGGCAACAACAACUAAAACUGUCACGGAUGUGUUGACAACAACUGGUGAACCCACUGCAAAUGUUACUAGUGUAUCGACUACAACUGGUGAACCCACUACAACCAUCAAUGUUUCAUCAAUAACAACUGGUGACCCCACGACAACAGUCACUGCUGUGUCAACAACAACUGGUGAACCCACUACAACUAUCAUUGAGUCUUCAUCAACAACUGGUGAACCCACUACAACCAUCACUGGUGUGUCAACAACAACUGGUGAACUCACUACGACAGUCACUGGUGUGUCGACAACAAUUACAACCAUCACUGAGUCAACUAAAACAACUGGUGAACCAACUAAAUCAAUCAUUAUUUCAUCAACAACAACCAGUGAACCCACUACAACUGUUACUGGUGCAUCGACCACUACUGGUGAACCCACUAAAACCAUAACUGAGUCAACAAAAACAACUGUUCAACCCACAUCAAUAGUCAAAGCUCUGUCGACAACAACUGGUGAACCCACUACGACAAUCACUGGUGUUUCAACAACAACUGGUGAACCCACUACAACUAUCACUGGUUCAUCGACAACAACUGGUGAACCCACUACAACUAUCACUGGUUCAUCGACAACAACUGGUGAACCCACUACGACCGUAACUGGUGUGUCAACAACAACGGUUACAGCUGUUCCCAUUACAACCGUAACUGGUGCAUUGACAACAACGAUUACAGCUGCAACCACUACAACUGUAAGUGUUGCAUUGACAAAAACUGAAGAUCUUACUUCAACCGUCCCUGGUGUGUCGACAACAACUUUUGAACCCACUUCAGUCAUCACUGGUGUGUCGACAACAACUUUUGGACCCUCUUCAGUCAUCACUGGUGUGUCGACAACAACUUUUGAACCCUCUUCAGUCAUCACUGGUGUGUCGACAACGACUGCAACAGCUUUACCCACUACAACCAUCACUAGUGCAUCAAAUGCCACCACAACUACAACGGCUACUCCUGUCAUCACUACUGCUAUCAUCACAGCCACGACAACUGCAACUACCGCUGUUGCAAACUCUAGGGUUCCUGUGGUGUUCAGGUCCAGCGGAGAGACAUUUACCUCUGACCUAUCAAAUCCAUCUUCUCAGGCCUUUCAAACCCGAGCAUUACUGAUUAAAACUCAGCUUGAACCUUUCUAUCGAUCGGCUUUCACCUCUUUCAACAGUUUGGAUGUGACAGAAUUCAGCUCUGGAUCCAUCAUCAAUACUGUAAAUGUAGCAUUCAGCUCCCCCUCGGUCCCUAAUAUCACAGAGAUUGGCACUGUUUUGAUCAAUGCUGCCCCAAACAUCACAGCUUUCAAUAUUGACCCCAACUCAGUGACGGUCAACAGCACAGCUGCUCCUGCAACAAGUACUGUUCCUCCUACAACUUCUGUUACUACCACUGUGGCUGGUACUACCACCACAACAACUGGAGAACCUGUCCCUGUUCGUGCUACCGUUCCUACAACGAGACCCACAACUACAACCACUACAUAUGUGGCCCCCACAACUACAGUGUCAAGGACAGCAUCACCACUGUCAACAACUACCAGCACAGCUCCAACUACCACAACAACCAAUGCACCAACCACUACAACAACACAUACUACUACGACAAGUACAACAACAACCACAACUGCACAUCUUCAACCUGCUCCAGUGGUGUCUUUCGUCAUACAACAAGUGUUUGUCGGAGCUUUAAAUGACCCUCAAAGUACACAAUUCCAAGAACUUGCAGUAACUAUUACUGCAGUGUUCGAUGUGAUCUACAAAGCAAAAUAUGGGAUCCUCUUCAUCCGGACGAUUGUUCUUGGAUUCACACCUAUUUUCCAUUCCCGUAUGGAUGCAGAAACACAGGCAGAGGUCCAACUGGUGUUCAAUGAGACCUCCACUCAAUCUGUCCCUGAGGUUACUGACAUUAGGGAUACACUGAAAGAGGCUGUGACCAAUCCAAACAUUACCUUUGGCAACCUCUCUGUGGAUGUCACCACCAUCAUUGUUCAAGUGCCCACCACAAAUAACAACACAACUACAACGGCUACUCCUGUCAUCACUACUGCUAUCAUCACAACUACAACCACUGAAACUACCGUUGUGGCACUCACUAAGGUGACUGUGGUGUUCCGGUCCAGCGGAGAGACAUUUACCUCUGACCUAUCAAACACAUCUUCUCAGGCCUUUCAAACCCGAGCAUUACUGAUUAAAACUCAGCUUGAUCCUUUCUAUCGAUCAGCUUUCACCUCUUUCAACAGUUUGACUGUGACAGAAUUCAGCUCUGGAUCCAUCAUCAAUACUAUGAAUUUAGCAUUCAGCUCCUCCUCCGUCCCAAAUUCCAUGGAGAUUGGCACUGUUUUAAUAAAUGCCGCCCAAAAAAUCACAGCUUUCAACAUUGACCCCACCUCAGUGAGAGUCAACGACACAGCUGUGACCUCAAGUGGAAUAAGCAGCAAGACCAGUCUCUGCACAGCAUUCUUUCUGGUGGUUCUGUCGCUGCUACUGUCAAGCCAGCAUUAGUCUCAGUGGCAACGCCCACUAAAAACACUAUUUCACUCACUGGCAAGCAACAGAACUAAAUAGUGUGUGUAGUCAUAUUUUCACUUUGAGAACUUCCCACACAUUCCAACCCCUACUCCAAUUCCACCCAUGAUUUGAAUAGUGUCCAAAAAUGAUCAAGUCUUGUAUGCUGACAUAAGAUACACUAUUUGUGGCAGUUGAACACAACGAUGUGAUAUAAUUACUGCCUAUUCAAUCAAAAUGUGUAUGUGUAUGGGGUCCGUCAUAAGUCGAUGUUAUUUCCAUGCAAUGAAAAAUAAUGUUUGAUUUAAUAUGUACUUAAGGUUAUUUUUGAUUCGCUCUGUUGCUGAUAUGAACUAAAACGUUGAUUCACUCUGUUGCUGUUAUGAACUAAAACGUUGAUUCACUCUGUUGCUGUUAUGAACUAAUGAGAGCAAUAUUUUAUUUUCUAUUUUGACUUAACCAGUGAAACCUGGAUAACUGAUUUAAAUAAGGCCCUUUUUGAGCAAAAUGUUCAUCAAUUUAAACUAUUGUCAAUGUAGUUUUCAUUCUGUUUUCUAUUCUUCGUCAUGUAUAACUAUCUAUUAUACCAAUGUCUUACUGCUGUUGAGAUUCAGGCCAUUGUAGUGUUUACUAUUUGUUGACUAAAUGAGUGGUUUGAAUGACAAGGUACAGUACGGCUCCAAAUUGUGAUGUUUAUCUGACUAUCUGGCCUUAAAAAACUGGAACAACAAGACUACACUAGAUCAGCCCAACACUUCCACAUGGUACACAGUGAGAGAGUGUUGUGUCCCACUGGUCUGGACAGCAGCUAGUUUUGUUGGUGCAAUAUUUGCCCUCCCAGAAAUUAUGCUUUGAUUGGUUCUCACAUGCGAGAUAUUCGCAUGCAAAACGCUCCUCGCUUCCUAAUCAAUUCGCCUCGCCCCAACUAGAGACAGACAAACAGGUAGCUAGUUUAAUGAUUCUUUCAAUUUGAAAAGGGGAUACCAGCGUAGCACGUUGAAGUCGCAGCCCCUUCAUUAUCAAUGCAACGUGCCGACAACAUCCAAGAGCCUUCCCAGACUCUGGAGAAGACAGACAUGUAUCUUUCGCCAGACUAACACUAGAUGCAAUUCCACAAAUAUCGCUCAGAUGUAUAAAGUUUGAAGCGUACAAUAUCUCUGAAAAGCUAAACUCAACAAGUGUUAAGACAGGAUACAUUUUGUAUUUUAUUUCCUUAAUUUUUUUCUUUUAUUUCCUCUAUCCAAAACAUAGAAAAUUAACAUAGAAUGCCCACGCUAGUCACACCCUGGCCUAACCAAAAUAGAGAAUAAAAACCUCUCUAUGGCCAGAGCGUGACACAUAUGUAUAUACUGUAUUCUAUUCUAUUAUAUUCUAUACUAUCUUAGUUUAUGUCGCUCUGACACAGCUCAUGCAAAUACUUACAUAUUCUUAAUUCCAUUCCUUUACUUUAGAUUGUGUGUAUUGUUAGAUAUUACUUGUUAGAUAUUACUGCACUGUUGGAGCUAGAAACACAAACAUUUUGCUACAAAACCACAAAAACAUCUGCUAAACACGUGUAUGGGACAAAUAACAUUAGAUUUGAUUUGAAAUACCUCACCCCCUCAUGCCUUAUUGCUUAAUCACGCAUCAUCAUAUAUCUUCAAAACAAAAACAAGUUCUGUAUCCUGUGAGCUCAAUUGUAAAAUGAUUCCAUUCUAGAAUGAAAGAGGGGUAUAAAUAAAUCAAUCAUGGUCAGAAUUUAAAAAAAGUAUUUAAUAAAGUUGUUGUGUCAUUGAA